rnacentral:sRNA from 1 species
CUUUGGCUUUGAUCGAAACUACAUUCUCUACUUUUUUACUGCUAAAAAAGUAAAGGUAUAGUGUUGAGGAGGAACUAUU